rnacentral:lncRNA from 1 species
AUAAAUUGAUCCUUUAUGUCAGCAAAGUUUUUACUAGACACAGUUUUUCUUCAAGAUGUGUUUGGUUAGUGGAACUAGAGUAAAUAUUUCAUAGGACGAUAGCAGUAAAACUGAGUGGCAUGCAAAUACCUUCAUUGAUCUUGGACUUUCUGACUAGACAUCAUAAUGAAAGACACACUGGGAACUCGUGAGAGGAUGACUGGUCACUGUCCACUGUGAAGCAUUAUAUUGAUAUCCAGAUCCUGGGCCUGAAGUACUUCUGCAGAUAAAACAGAGUCCGCUGGAAAGCUGUGGGAGAUUUGCCCAGGGCUGUGACCAGAUUUUAUUGCUAAACUGAGGUGUUUAAUCAAAAGUCUGAGCAAUAUGAUGGGACACAUGUGACCCAAAGUGUGCACUUGGGAUUGAAAGCUUACCUAUGUAAUCAAGGACGCUGAGAGAGGAGCACCUUACACUGUAAGGGCCAUGUGUUGCAACAGAUUGUGAAAAUUUCAGCAUAGAUGGAAGAUGGUGUUACCAGAUUAUUUACUAGGCCUACUUCAGCUUUGUCCAAGGAAAGAACAAACCAUUGAAAGGAGGAAAAUGUUUCUGAUGAAGCUGUGCCACUGGGCAGAGUGGAAGGAAAGAUUCAUGUGAUUCUUAAGCUAGUGAAGAAGAGCCUGGCACUGUAUUUGG